AAAAACCACUCAAGCCAUUUGCGCUUGGUAUUGGGAGAGGAGCGCGCCCGUCGCCCUCCCUCCCGAAAUCCAAUGGCGGAAAGCCCCACGUGCCCCGGCGUAGUAAGUUCUCUUUCGUCAGGAAUGUGAGGCGAUCCUGCCCUCAACCCCCAAUCAUAAUCUCC
rnacentral:misc_RNA from 1 species